rnacentral:rRNA from 1 species
GCGGAAAGCUCAGUAACACGUGGCCAAACUACCCUGUGGAUGGGAACAAUCUCGGGAAACUGAGGCUAAUUCCCAAUAACGCUCCGCCCCUGGAACGGGCGGAGCUGGAAACGCUACGGCGCCACAGGAUGUGGCUGCGGUCGAUUAGGUAGACGGUGGGGUAACGGCCCACCGUGCCAAUAAUCGGUACGGGUUGUGAGAGCAAGAGCCCGGAGACGGAAUCUGAGACAAGAUUCCGGGCCCUACGGGGCGCAGCAGGCGCGAAACCUUUACACUGUACGCAAGUGCGAUAAGGGGACUCCGAGUGUGAAGGCAUAGAGCCUUCACUUUUGUACACCGUAAGGUGGUGUACGAAUAAGGGCUGGGCAAGACCGGUGCCAGCCGCCGCGGUAAUACCGGCAGCCCGAGUGAUGGCCGAUAUUAUUGGGCCUAAAGCGUCCGUAGCUGGCCGGACAAGUCCGUUGGGAAAUCUGUUCGCUUAACGAGCAGGCGUCCAGCGGAAACUGUUCGGCUUGGGACCGGAAGACCUGAGGGGUACGUCCGGGGUAGGAGUGAAAUCCU